CGCCUGGGGAGUACGGCCGCAAGGCUAAAACUCAAAGGAAUUGACGGGGCCCCGCACAAGCGGCGGAGCAUGCGGAUUAAUUCGAUGCAACGCGUAGAACCUUACCUGGGUUUGACAUGGAUCGGGAGUGCUCAGAGAUGGGUGUGCCUCUUUUGGGGUCGGUUCACAGGUGGUGCAUGGCUGUCGUCAGCUCGUGUUGUGAGAUGUUGGGUUAAGUCCCGCAACGAGCGCAACCCUUGUUCACUGUUGCCAGCACGUUAUGGUGGGGACUCAGUGGAGACCGCCGGGGUCAACUCGGAGGAAGGUGGGGAUGACGUCAAGUCAUCAUGCCCCUUAUGUCCAGGGCUUCACGCAUGCUGCAAUGGCUGGUACAGAGAGUGGCGAGCCUGUGAGGGUGAGCGAAUCUCGGAAAGCCGGUCUCAGUUCGGAUUGGGGUCUGCAACUCGACCUCAUGAAGUCGGAGUCGCUAGUAAUCGCAGAUCAGCAACGCUGCGGUGAAUACGUUCCCGGGGCUUGUACACACCGCCCGUCAAGUCAUGAAAGUUGGUAACACCCGAAGCCGGUGGCCUAACCGUUGUGGGGGAGCCGUCGAAGUGGGACUGGUGAUUAGGACUAAGUCGUAACAAGGUAACCGUA
rnacentral:rRNA from 1 species